UUUAAUGAGAGUUUGAUCCUGGCUCAGGACGAACGCUGGUGGCGUGCCUAAUACAUGCAAGUAGAACGCUGAAGUCUGGUGCUUGCACUAGACGGAUGAGUUGCGAACGGGUGAGUAACGCGUAGGUAACCUGCCUCAUAGCGGGGGAUAACUAUUGGA
rnacentral:rRNA from 1 species